rnacentral:lncRNA from 1 species
AUUAACCUAAUAAAGAGUAAACCAAUAUUGACAAUGGUAGUAGUAUUGUUGAAGUUCAUGGCCAUGGCCAUAUAACUGACCUGGAUAUUUUUAAUCUUUGCCGACACCAUUAAACAGCAGUUCAGUAUAACCCUUCUCAUUCAACCCGAUCAUCUCGCAGGCGCCAACUUUCACCUCGUCAACCUUGCUAGGACUGGUUUAUAUAGAGCAGGAAGAGAAUGUGCUUCAGCUGCAUGCAAUAUCCUCUAUUCGCAAAUUCCCAGUUUUGUAGUACAUGAGUACCCAGCUGCAAGGAACCUGUUCUUUGAAGAGCUUAACCCUGAAAAGCAGCCUUGAAAGAAUGAUUACCUAGAAGAACUCGUUGAGUUAAAUUUCUCUCCAUAAAUUCCCAACAAAAUGUAUAUGAUGGAAACUAAUAUACUUACGUUUCCUCCCCA